rnacentral:lncRNA from 1 species
AUGAAAUAUGCCAGUAUAGAGCUCAGCAGUGAACAGUCCAUUCAUAAUCUUCCAGGAAAGGUACAUAUAAAACCUUUAUUCCACAUGCCCAUGAACAGUAUUGAGCUCAAAAGUACUUGUAAAACUUUUAUUUCACAGGAAAAAAUAUAUGAAACAGUACAGAACUAGCCGCCAGUUCGUGGGAAUCACGAACUGGCCAAACGACAUGGCCGACGUGAAUCUCGCGAGUGCCGCGAGAUUCAAGAUGGCCGCCGUUCGCGCGCAAAAGUGCCGUGCGGCCCACGAUCGAGG